AAGGAGGUGGAAGAGGGAAUGGACAAAGCUCGCAAGCUUUUCCAAACAACAAACCCGCAGGCAUAAGAGAGGGAUGCCAAGAGCCACAUGUCUUUAAUUUCCAUUAGAACCAAAGCAUAAAAGGCAUAGAAAACUUCCCCCAAAGUUCACGGAUAAACACUUAAACCAGGAACCAAAGAGGCAGCUAGCAGACCGAGUAUUUCAAAGCAACAAAGCCACAGAUUUCGGAAAAACAGCCAGCUCCUCACGGAACCAAGGAGCCAGCACCUCAGGCCGUGAGUUCAAAGCAUCACAGCAACGGGAAAAGCUUCCCAUUUCGGAAAUCAGCCCCAUUUAAAAUCAGAACAGGAAUCAAAGGGCUAAUUCAUGGAACCAAGGAGUCCAUGUCUCG